rnacentral:tRNA from 1 species
UGCGGGAUAUUCGCUGCUGGUACGCGAUCCUCGAUUUUGAAUCGAGACGUCGUUGGUUCAAUUCCAACUCCCGCAGCC